rnacentral:lncRNA from 1 species
UCAGAAUUGAACGCUUAGUCACGGCGUGAACUUUAGUAGAAAAAUAGAUAUGAGACUUAUCACUGCUACAGAUCUGCCCAGAAAUCCAACUAUAGUAAUCAAGAAUCUUCUUAAUCGUCUUCGCAUUCCGUACAGAGGCCUUACAGAAAACCAAAAUAUCAUCAGCAUAAAGGAGAUGCGUGGGAAAAAGCUGCGAACGAGUCAUAGUCAUGGGAGUAAGAUGACCAGAAGUAACACAGUUGCGAAAAAGAGCGCUCAGAACAUCCUCAGCAAUCCCAAAGAGGAUAGGAGAGA